AGUGAACGCUGGCGGCAGGCCUAAUACAUGCAAGUCGAACGGCAGCACAGCUUAAGCUUGCUUGAGUGGGUGGCGAGUGGCGGACGGGUGAGGAAUACGUGGGAAUCUGCCCAGUCGUGGGGGAUAACGUAGGGAGACUUACGCUAAUACCGCAUGCGCCCUUCGGGGGAAAGCCGGGGGUCUUCGGACGUGGCGCGAUUGGAUGAGCCCACGUCGGAUUAGCUAGUUGGAGGGGUAAAGGCCCACCAAGGCGACGAUCCGUAGCUGGUCUGAGAGGAUGAUCAGCCACACUGGAACUGAGACACGGUCCAGACUCCUACGGGAGGCAGCAGUAGGGAAUAUUGGACAAUGGGCGCAAGCCUGAUCCGGCCAUGCCGCGUGAGUGAAGAAGGCCCUCGGGUUGUAAAGCUCUUUUGUUGGGGAAGAAAAGCCUUGGGUUAAUACCCUGAGGUUCUGACGGUACCCAAAGAAUAAGCACCGGCUAACUUCGUGCCAGCAGCCGCAGUAA
rnacentral:rRNA from 1 species